UCGCCGCCGACGACGUCGCGAGAAGUCCACUGAACCUUAUCAUUUAGAGGAAGGAGAAGUCGUAACAAGGUUUCCGUAGGUGAACCUGCGGAAGGAUCAUUGUCGACACCUGCAAAGCAGAGCGACCCGCGAACCGUUUUUCAAUGCCCGGGAUACCGAGGGGCGCCUAGCCGCCCGGUAGCCCGAAAGCUCCGGACGCGAGGGGUGCAACCCACCCCCCAGCGGACGAAGCCCCAAACAAACCCCGGCGCGCGAAGCGCCAAGGUACUCCAACGAUAGGGCAUGCGCCCGUAGCCCUGGGUUCCAGUGUGCUCGGGCUGCUGUUCAACAUCAUAAAGUCUAAACGACUGUGAAUUGCAGAAUCCCGUGAACCAUCGAGUCUUUGRACGCAAGUUGCGCCCGAAGCCUUGGCUGAGGGCACGUCUGCCUGGGUGUCACGCAUGGCGUUGCCUCCAAACCCUUCACCCUUCGUUCGUUGCGGUGAUGGUCUGGAUGCGGAAGCUGGCCUCCCGCGGCCACGAGCCACGGAUGGCCCAAACACGUGCUAGGGAAGCGAAGCGCCACGGCAUUCGGUGGUUGAUCCAAGCCCCAGAAGCAGUGCCGGCGGUGGCCGCGUCUGUCCUUAGCCCACGACCCUAAACGUUAACCAACGCGACCUCAGGUCAGGCGGGGCUACCCGCUGAGUUUAAGCAUAUCAUUAAGCGGAGG
rnacentral:rRNA from 1 species